UACGUAAGGGGCGAGCGUUAUCCGGAUUUAUUGGGCAUAAAGGGCGCGUAGGUGGCAUUUUAAGUCAGAUGUGAAAGGCCUAGGCUUACCCUAGGUUUGCAUUUGAAACUGAUUUGCUAGAGGUCAGUAGAGGAAAGCGGAACUCACAGUGUAGCGGUGAAAUGCGUAGAUAUUGUGAGGAACACCAGUUGCGAAGGCGGCUUUCUGGCCUGAUCCUGACACUGAGGCGCGAAAGCGUGGGGAGCGAACAGG
rnacentral:rRNA from 1 species